GGUGGAAGUCUUUGGAUGAUAUUGAGUUAGACUUGUGUAAUUUGACAGAUAAACAAGGAAAACUAUGAUUUCUAUGGAAUUUAAAGCAGCAUUAAAAAUUACGUGGCAUUUAUGAUAAAAAAAACUUUAAAAUGAAAUAUAGGCCAGGAACUGAAAUGUGAUUUAGGAUUUGUUGACUUUAAUAUAAUAACAGAUUUCAAGUCUUGAUGGUUGGAGUUUGAUUAUCUGAGCAACUUUUAGCCAGUUUAAUUUUAAUGUGUUCUUUUUUAUAAAACUUGUAGCUGCGCAGUCCUGACUUAGGAAUUUGCUUCAUUAUUUGGUAAAUAUUUGAUUUCAAAGUCAUUAUUUUGGAUUUCCAUCCAUUUUUUAUUGUUCUAUAUCAUCUCAGGCACAUGUAGAUACCAACAUAUUUGCAUUAAAGCUGGUGUAAAUCCCUUUUUGAGAACCCCCCAUUUCAGGUGUUGUGACAAAAUGGUGUCACUUUACCUUGCCCUUAAAUAUAUGGGAAUAAUCGCACAAACAGUUUUUAAUAGGUAAACAAUCUACUGGUCCACCUAUGUGGUUUUUACUGCGAGAACUUCGCUUUUCCACAUAAAGUAAGCAGAUUCUUUUUCCCCACGGGUUUUUUUCUAUCUGCAGUGAUGACAUUUUGAUAUACAAGAACUUGUUUUAUUUUUUGUUUUUUGUUUGUUUUACCAAUUUUCUGUUUUUAUAUAUUACACCUUGAUAUGUAGAUAACUGAAUUAAAUCAACCUGUCCAAAAUAUCAUAUUUUAAUGUAUUGGACAAAUUAAUUAUUAUACAUUAUUUAGUUUUUUUUCAUAUGCCUAUAUUAAACAAUUUUCCUUUUCCCGAAACUUGGAACAUACCAGUUUAUGGUAAUUUGAAUGGGGCCAAAAUCAUUUCAAAAUUUUUGACAUUCAAAUAUAAGGGGGAGGUGGUGGGGUCGAGAUUUUUAUAAGAUUUUUUUUUUAUCUAUACCCACAUAUUUUAGAAUAUUGUUUAAUGUGGGCCAACUGAUAAUUCAUCAGUCAAAAUAGAAUAUAUACUAAGCAGCAAAAGAAACGUCAGAUUGGUACGUUACUCUGAAUAGAGACAUUGCAUAAAACUUGCCAAAUGUUUUUAUUGUAUAUUUGUGACCACAUCUCCAACUUUACCUGAGCAAUAAGGCUCCUUCCCAAACACAGAAUUGAACCCAGGAAAUGUUCUCAAAAAUGCAAACUGACUUCUGAGAUGGUAAUGUGUUCUCCAUGAUUUUCAUGUAACUGAUGCUGCACAUGCUGUUACAGGGACCAGCUUUAUAAAAAUGCACUCCAUACCUGGUUGAAUCAUUCACACUACACGUCAGCAGCAUGCCAUGACUCACGAAAGCUCAGAGGAACCAGGCGCUUGGAAGACUCGAUGCUGGCCACACUGCCCAAGCCGUUGCCAAUCACUUCCAGGUCAGUGUUCGGACCAUCUACAGGCAUCAGCAACGCUUUCAGGCCACCAACACCACGGAUGAUCGCCCCCGAACUGGUAGACCAAGGGUUACCACAAGGCGACAAGACCGCCAUGUUGUGUGACAGCACGUGCAGAAUCCCUUCACACAGGCUUCAGAAACAGCAUGUUGUACAAUGGGAACACACAGAAGACCCAUCAGUACCGAUACAGUGUGCCGACGUCUCACCAGAGAGAACAUCCAUUGCUGUAGACCUUACCGUGGACCGAUCCUCACCCCUCGCCAUCGACGUGGACGUCUACAGUUUGCCCAACAACACCAGAACUGGCAACACAGGCAAUGGGGAACUGUUCUUUUCACAGAUGAGUCAGUAUUCCGAAUCAACUGCAGAUGGCAGGACCAGAAUAUGGCGUCGACGUGGCCAGCGUUAUUCUGACAAAUGUGUCAUGGAACGAGACUUAUGGGGAGGUCCAAGCAUAAUGGUUUGCAGUGGAAUCGGCCUGAACCAGAGAGUGGGUCCUGUGGUGUUCCAAAAUCUUGGUCCAGGGAAAGGAGGAGGCAUGACAGCAGUGCGCUACAUCGAUCAAACUCUCAGACCCCAAGUGAUACCCUAUUUCGCACGUCAUCGAAAUGUUUUCCAGCCCGUGCCCACACCGCCAGAGUUACUCAGGACUUUCUACAACAGAACGGUGUUAAUAUUAUGCACUGGCCAGCCCUUAGUCCGGACUUAAACCUGAUUGAACAUCUUUGGGAUGAAAUUCAGAGGAGACUUAAUAACGUUGUACUGAGACCAAACACAGCCGAUGGAUUGCGCCAGGCUUUUCUGAGAGUGUGGUUCCAGGUGCCAAUGGCAUUCAUCAAUCGUCUGGUCCACUCCAUGUACAGACCCUGCGCUGCUGUUAUUGACACUUGCGGUGGACACACCAGAUGCUGAUGUAUAGACUGUGUACAGACUCUAAACCGUCUCGUAAUGUCUUGGAAUUGUGAUGAAUUACAUACUGUUCACAAAACAAAAAAUUGCUUUGAUCCAUUUAGUAAGUCGUUUUCUAGAAUGAUUUGAUUAAAGGCCCUCUCUGAUUUUGAAAUCGUACUGGUUUUUUUUUGCUGUUUAGUAUAUUAUUUCUUAAUCAAUUAUGUUCUUAAUAGAUAAGAGGUUUUGAUUUAUGUUCGUAUUUUCCAUUGAAAAUUUUUGUUAUUGUAAUCAAAAUAUCUGAUGUUAAAGGAGCUAAGUCGCUAAUAUUUGGGACCUAGAAAUUGACGCAAAUGGGUCGCAACGCAUACAAAAAUGCAAUAUCAAUGUAUAUAAAUUGAUUUACAUUCAAUCGUUUCUGUUUUUACUGUAAUUUCUAAUCAGUUAGGUUCGGCAAAAUACGCCAGUAUUCUCAACCGAAUUUCAAUCUCUAGCGUCUGGUUUUUCCAGUCUACGCCGAUAAUAUUUAUUGGGCAUGCUCUCCAGAUAAGAAUAUUGCGUCACCGUUUGAGAUGACUUGUGGAAUAUGCUUAGCCUGGUUUUCGAGUCCCUUGUUACAAAUAGCGCUGAAACGCAUUAUGGUACAGGAUUCAUGUACCAAUUGUAAAAUGUUUAUUUAGUCUUAAAUUUUGGAUAUCAGAAGGUCAUCUUUUCCUGGUAAGGUCACAACAUCAAUGUUGAUUUAAACAGACAAAUAGAUCUGUUUUCAAUGUUGAAGAUUUUGGAUGAUAUUGAGUUAGAGACUUAGCUACUUUGAAUUAAACAAAUUAUUAUCUUGUUAUUGCCAAAAUAGUAUUUUUUUAAUGAAGUUGUAGGACAGAUAUCUACUGUUAUAAUUGUUCAUUCAUGAUUAUGUAUUUUACAGUGUAAGGUCAAUAGUGAGUAAACAUUUCCAGUUGAUCAGGGGACUAGGGAAAAUCCUACCUCCUCCUUCCUAGAUAUGAGUUAGGGUUAGGUAGCCGGCUCUCAAUACUGUACACUCACUAUAUACUACAAUAAGAAUACAUGUAUACUAUAAAAUGAUGAUACCAGUGUCUAGAGAUUGUCAGAAAAGCCUACAAAGAUUGAUAUAAAUAUUCACAUGUUUGUAUUAUUGUCAGUUGUGUUUGGGGAACAUAAUAUUUCAUAUGGACAUAGAACGAGGUCAGAAUUCAAAUAAUUCAUCUGUUGAAUAGAUUAUAUCAUUUCUUAAUGAAAUAUAUAUACUUAUAGAUAGAGAUUUUGAUUUAUAUUUGUAUUUCCCUAAUUAGUAUACAUUAUUAAGUUAUUUUUAUACGCCUAUAUAAAACAAUAAUUAGUUGAUUUAUAUUUGUAUUUCCCUAAUUAUUAAACAUUAUUUAGUUUUUUUAAUACUUAUAUUAAACAAUAAUUAGAUAUUUUUAUAUGCCCAUAUUUCAUGUUACAGAACAAAAUUCUAAAUUUUCCAUUUUCCUAAACUUGGAACAUACCAGUUUAUGGUAAUUUGAAUGAGGCCAAAAUCAUUUCGAAAUUUUUGAUAUAAAAACAUGUUGGCGUUGAGCAAAUCUUCACAAGAUUUUUGCCUGCAACCACAUUAACAUAUUUUAAGAUAUUGUUUAAUAUGGGCCAACUUUUAUCUUGUUUCUUAAUCAGUUAUAUACUUAUAAAACUGUUUACAAAUAAAAUAUUUC